GCGGUUGUGGUGAAGCGGUUAACACUCUGGAUUGUGGCUCCAGCACUCGCGGGUUCGAUCCCCGUCAAUCGCCCCA
rnacentral:tRNA from 2 species